CACAUUUUAAAUGAAAAAUUCCUGACCCAGGUCUUAAUUUGCUAUUUGUGAUGUAAAAAAUUGCUGUUUCUUCGAUUUUUUUCAUGUAAUGCAUUUAACAGCCGCGGGGCCUGAGGUCCUUGAUGUUUACCAGUUGCCGUAGCCAAGAGAUGACGUUGACGUGGAUGCAGUGUGGUCUUCUAUGUGGCAAAGGAUUCCAGAAGGAUGUGACCGCAUGUGUUCCCCCUGGACCACGCGGGUGCAGGGCGGCGUCGGACUCUGUCUUCUUGAUCACCUGCACCAGUUGCGCAUGCUCCGUGACCAGCUGCCGCAGAUCUGCCAUCUUUUGCAGGAGUUUUGGGAAGAGAAAGACGUCGUCGGGAUGGUUGCUCUGUGCUCGGUUUCAACAAUAUUUAAGGAGUGUGAUUAUGUUUGACUUCGGUUUUGUGGUAUAAAGCACCGUUACAGGUACCUUCCAAUAUAAGUCAGCUGAAAAGAAGGUGGAGCCAGAAAUGAAUGGGAGGACGGAUACGGGAGGAUGCUGAGCUAACCCAGAGAGGGGAGGCCUGAGGCUUGGGGCAGGGAAUCGGAGGAUGGAUACGGGAGGAUGCUGAGGUAACCCAGCGAGGGGAGGCCUGAGGCUUGGGGCACGGAAUCGGAGCACGGAUACGGGAGGAUGCUGAGCUAACCCAGAGAGGGGAGGCCUGAGGCUUGGGGCAGGGAAUCGGAGGAUGGAUACGGGAGGAUGCUGAGCUAACCCAGAGAGGGGAGGCCUGAGGCUUGGGGCAGGGAAUCGGAGGAUGGAUACGGGAGGAUGCUGAGGUCACCCAGAGAGGGGAGGCCUGAGGCUUGGGGCAGGAAGGGUGAUGUGGACACCAGGUGUCCUCCCGGGGUGGCUCAGACACAGACACCAGACUUCCUGGGACAGCUCAGAUCCAUGCGUCCUGCCCUUGUUCCAGAAGAUCAGCCCCCACCCUCCAUAUUCAAUAGGCAGGGCUCUCUCUAGAGUCCCAGAUGCAUUACUAGGAUUUUCAAAGGUGUUGCUCAGCAUGUGGAUUUUUCUUUUUUUUUUGGUUAUAAAAUAAUGACUAAGUUUUUAAAGAGAGAGAUUUUAAAAAAUAGUAAGUGAACCCCCUCUCAUAAUUUUAACCCCAUCAUACAGAUUUCAUGUAUACCUCACCAGACAUUUUUCUGAUCUGUGAUUAAAAUUUCUUUU